UACAGAGGGUGCAAGCGUUAAUCGGAAUUACUGGGCGUAAAGCGUGCGUAGACGGUUAUGUAAGUCAGAUGUGAAAGCCCAGGGCUCAACCUUGGAAUUGCAUUUGAGACUGCAUAGCUAGGGUGCGGAAGAGGGAAGCGGAAUUUCCGGUGUAGCGGUGAAAUGCGUAGAUAUCAGGAGGAACACCAAUGGCGAAGGCAGCUCACUGGGACGGUAUUGACGCUGAGACGCGAAAGCGUGGGGAGCAAACAGG
rnacentral:rRNA from 1 species